CCUACGGGUGGCAGCAGUGGGGAAUAUUGCACAAUGGGGGAAACCCUGAUGCAGCGACGCCGCGUGAGUGAAGAAGUAAUUCGUUAUGUAAAGCUCUAUCAGCAGGGAAGAAAAUGACGGUACCUGAGGAAGAAGCCACGGCUAACUACGUGCCAGCAGCCGCGGUAAUAAGUAGGGGGCAAGCGUUAUCCGGAUUUACUGGGGGUAAAGGGAGCGUAGACGGGAGUGCAAGUCUGGAGUGAAAGGCGGGGGCUCAACCCCCGGACUGCUCUGGAAACUGUACGGCUGGAGUGCAGGAGAGGUAAGUGGAAUUCCUAGUGUAGCGGUGAAAUGCGUAGAUAUUAGGAGGAACACCAGUGGCGAAGGCGGCUUACUGGACUGUAACUGACGUUGAGGCUCGAAAGCGUGGGGAGCAAACAGGAUUAGAUACCCUGGUAGUC
rnacentral:rRNA from 1 species